rnacentral:rRNA from 1 species
AGGACGAACGCUGGCGGCGUGCUUAACACAUGCAAGUCGAACGGUGAAACACCCUUCGGGGUGUGGAUCAGUGGCGAACGGGUGAGUAACACGUGGGCAACCUGCCCCUGACUCCGGAAUAACCUCGGGAAACCGAAGCUAAUACCGGAUACGACUUCGAGCGGCAUCGCUCGCGGUGGAAAGUUUUUCGGUCAGGGAUGGGCCCGCGGCCUAUCAGCUUGUUGGUGGGGUAACGGCCUACCAAGGCGACUACGGGUAGCCGGCCUGAGAGGGCGACCGGCCACGACUGGGACUGAGAUACGGCCCAGACUCCUACGGGAGGCAGCAGUGGGGAAUAUUGCACAAUGGGCGAAAGCCUGAUGCAGCGACGCCGCGUGAGGGAUGACGGCCUGGUUGUAAACCUACUUCGUACAGGAGUGAAGCCUCGGUGACAGUACCUGUAGAAGAAGACACGGACAACUACGUGCCGAGACGAGACCGC